rnacentral:rRNA from 1 species
UACGUAGGGUGCGAGCGUUGUCCGGAAUUAUUGGGCGUAAAGGGCUCGUAGGCGGUUUGUCGCGUCGGGAGUGAAAACCAGGUGCUUAACACCUGGCUUGCUUCGAUACGGGCAGACUAGAGGUAUUCAGGGGAGAACGGAAUUCCUGGUGUAGCGGUGAAUGCGCAGAUAUCAGGAGGAACACCGGUGGCGAAGGCGGAUCUCUGGGCCUUGCCUGACGCUGAGGCGCGAAAGCUAGGGGAGCGAACAGG